rnacentral:rRNA from 2 species
GGGGAAUAUUGGGCAAUGGGCGCAAGCCUGACCCAGCAACGCCGCGUGAGGGAAGAAGGCUUUCGGGUUGUAAACCUCUGUCCUUAGGGACGAAAAAAAUGACGGUACCUAAGGAGGAAGCUCCGGCUAACUACGUGCCAGCAGCCGCGGUAAUACGUAGGGAGCAAGCGUUGUCCGGAAUUACUGGGCGUAAAGGGUGCGUAGGUGGCCAUGCAAGUCAGAUGUGAAAUCCCCGGGCUUAACUCGGGGGGUGCAUUUGAAACUGCGUGGCUUGAGUGCAGGAGAGGAAAGCGGAAUUCCUAGUGUAGCGGUGAAAUGCGUAGAUAUUAGGAGGAACACCAGUGGCGAAGGCGGCUUUCUGGUCUGCAACUGACGCUGAGGCGCGAAAGCAUGGGGAGCAAACA